GUUAAUGAGGCGAACCGGGGGAACUGAAACAUCUAAGUACCCCGAGGAAAAGAAAUCAACCGAGAUUCCCCCAGUAGCGGCGAGCGAACGGGGAGCAGCCCAGAGCCUGAAUCAGUAUGUGUGUUAGUGGAAGCGUCUGGAAAGGCGCGCGAUACAGGGUGACAGCCCCGUACACAAAAAUGCACAUGCUGUGAGCUCGAUGAGUAGGGCGGGACACGUGGUAUCCUGUCUGAAUAUGGGGGGACCAUCCUCCAAGGCUAAAUACUCCUGACUGACCGAUAGUGAACCAGUACCGUGAGGGAAAGGCGAAAAGAACCCCGGCGAGGGGAGUGAAAAAGAACCUGAAACCGUGUACGUACAAGCAGUGGGAGCACGCUUAGGCGUGUGACUGCGUACCUUUUGUAUAAUGGGUCAGCGACUUAUAUUCUGUAGCAAGGUUAACCGAAUAGGGGAGCCGAAGGGAAACCGAGUCUUAACUGGGCGUUAAGUUGCAGGGUAUAGACCCGAAACCCGGUGAUCUAGCCAUGGGCAGGUUGAAGGUUGGGUAACACUAACUGGAGGACCGAACCGACUAAUGUUGAAAAAUUAGCGGAUGACUUGUGGCUGGGGGUGAAAGGCCAAUCAAACCGGGAGAUAGCUGGUUCUCCCCGAAAGCUAUUUAGGUAGCGCCUCGUGAAUUCAUCUCCGGGGGUAGAGCACUGUUUCGGCAAGGGGGUCAUCCCGACUUACCAACCCGAUGCAAACUGCGAAUACCGGAGAAUGUUAUCACGGGAGACACACGGCGGGUGCUAACGUCCGUCGUGAAGAGGGAAACAACCCAGACCGCCAGCUAAGGUCCCAAAGUCAUGGUUAAGUGGGAAACGAUGUGGGAAGGCCCAGACAGCCAGGAUGUUGGCUUAGAAGCAGCCAUCAUUUAAAGAAAGCGUAAUAGCUCACUGGUCGAGUCGGCCUGCGCGGAAGAUGUAACGGGGCUAAACCAUGCACCGAAGCUGCGGCAGCGACGCUUAUGCGUUGUUGGGUAGGGGAGCGUUCUGUAAGCCUGUGAAGGUGUACUGUGAGGUAUGCUGGAGGUAUCAGAAGUGCGAAUGCUGACAUAAGUAACGAUAAAGCGGGUGAAAAGC
rnacentral:rRNA from 1 species